rnacentral:rRNA from 1 species
AGGCGGGCUGGACCUCUCGGGGUUACAGCCUUGCUGAAUUAUUCACCCUUGUCUUUUGCGUACUUCUUGUUUCCUUGGUGGGUUCGCCCACCACUAGGACAAACAUAAACCUUUUGUAAUUGCAAUCAGCGUCAGUAACAAAUUAAUAAUUACAACUUUCAACAACGGAUCUCUUGGUUCUGGCAUCGAUGAAGAACGCAGCGAAAUGCGAUAAGUAGUGUGAAUUGCAGAAUUCAGUGAAUCAUCGAAUCUUUGAACGCACAUUGCGCCCUUUGGUAUUCCAAAGGGCAUGCCUGUUCGAGCGUCAUUUGUACCCUCAAGCUUUGCUUGGUGUUGGGCGUCUUGUCUCUAGCUUUGCUGGAGACUCGCCUUAAAGUAAUUGGCAGCCGGCCUACUGGUUUCGGAGCGCAGCACAAGUCGCACUCUCUAUCAGCAAAGGUCUAGCAUCCAUUAAGCCUUUUUUCAACUUUUGACCUCGGAUCAGGUAGGGAUACCCGCUGAACUUAAGCAUAUCAUAG